GAAAGAAACCAUUUGACUGUUCUGAAUCAAAGAUUUGGACAAAAGGGUGACCUGCAAAAACACAUAAUUCACACAGGACACAAACAAUUUGGCUGUUCUGAAUGUGGUCGCAGAUUUGGAGAUAAGAGCAACCUGAAAAGACACACGAGAUAAUUCAUACAAGACAAAAAGCAUUUGUCUGUUCUGAAUGUGAUCAAAGAUUUGGACAACAGG